GAUGAACGCUGGCGGCGUGCCUAACACAUGCAAGUCGAACGCAGCACCUUACCUGAUUCUUCGGGUGAAAGUUUGGUGACUGAGUGGCGGACGGGUGAGUAACGCGUGGGUAACCUGCCCUGUUCAGGGGAAUAACAGCUGGAACCGGAUGCUAAUACCGCAUACACGCACGAGGAUACAUCUCCUUGUGUGAAAAACUCCGGUGGGACAGUAUGGGCCCUCGGCUGGUUAGCUGGUUGGCAGGGUAACGGCCCACCAAGGCAACGAUCAGGAGCCGGGCGGAGAGGAUGACCGGCCAUAUUGGAAGUGAGACACGGACCGAACCCCUACGGGAGGAAGCAGUGGGGAAUAUUGCACACUGGGGGAAUGCCUGAUGCAGCAACGCCGCGUGAGUGAAGAAUUAUUGCGGUAUGUAAAGCUCUAUCAGCAGGGAAGAUAAUGACGGUACCUGACUAAGAAGCGCCGGCUAAAUACGUG
rnacentral:rRNA from 1 species